rnacentral:rRNA from 1 species
UACGGGGGGGGCAAGCGUUGUUCGGAAUUACUGGGCGUAAAGGGCUUGUAGGUGGCCAACUAAGUCAGACGUGAAAUCCCUCGGCUUAACCGGGGAACUGCGUCUGAUACUGGAUGGCUUGAGUGUGGGAGAGGGAUGCGGAAUUCCAGGUGUAGCGGUGAAAUGCGUAGAUAUCUGGAGGAACACCGGUGGCGAAGGCGGCAUCCUGGACCAUUACUGACACUGAUGAACGAAAGCCAGGGGAGCAAACGGG